AUUGAACGCUGGCGGCAGGCUUAACACAUGCAAGUCGAACGAGCGGCGGACGGGUGAGUAAUGUAUGGGGACUGCCCGAUAGAGGGGGAUAACUACUGGAAACGGUAGCUAAUACCGCAUACUAUCGGAUAACCCAUAUGGGAUUAGCUAGUAGGUUGGGUAAUGGCUCACCUAGGCGACGAUCCCUAGCUGGUCUGAGAGGAUGAUCAGCUACACAGUGACGUAGACACGGCCAGGAUUCCUGCGGAGGCAGCAGUGGGAAAUAAGGAACAAUGGGCGCAAGCCUGAUGUAGCAAUGCCGCGUGUAUGAAGAAGGCCCUAGGGUUGUAAAGUACUUUCAGCUGGGAGGCGUUACCGACAGAAGAAGCACCGGCUAACUCCGUGCCAGCAGCCGCGGUAAUAC
rnacentral:rRNA from 1 species